AGAAGCGGGUGUAGUCAGCCUCAGGCAGUCCGGGAAUGGUCACUGGAAGAAAGCAGGGAAGAGCAGACUGGAUCCGAGACAACCAGGAGACGCAGGCAGGUCCUGCCCUGCAGCUCUUUCAGUGACACGGAGCGGCGAAGCCCCCCCCGGUGGGGUUCUUGUAUUUUAUUCUGUGUAUUUUAUUCCAUUCACACCUCCCGUCCCUCGCUGCCGCCCUUUUGUCGUCGUCCCGUGAUGCGGCUUUUUCGAGGACACCGAACAUCGUCCGGCCUGCCCGGUGCCGCCCCGCCGGUCCCUCGGUGCGGCUCUUCUUGAUACUGGGCGGCGGGACCCUCUUGUGAUUGUCUUCGAGAUCGGGAUCAACAUCUGGAUCCUUCCGGUCGUGGUGCUUUCCAAGGAGAGCAGGACACAGGCAGAGCCGGGAGAACCAGCCUUCGAUCACCCAGUGCCACCUGGGAGAGAUGUUGUAAAGCAAAGCCUCCCUUCAGGUUGGAAGGAAACUGCAUUUAGUGAGCUGCCUGCAGAAUGUGUGCCCACAGCUCUGUAGUAAAGAAAAUAUAUGAAUAAACAAGUCAAAUAAAACGUAGAAAUCUAUAAAAUAGUAUAAAUAAAUUAAUAAACUGCCUAAAGAAACAAGCAAAAAUUAAUAAAAAACUCCCUAAAGAAACAAGUAAAUAUAUAAAAUUAAAAUUAUAUCAAUAUAUAAAAUCAAUAAAAUGAAUAAAAUGAAAAAUAAUAUAUAA